UACGUAGGGGGCAAGCGUUGUCCGGAUUUAUUGGGCGUAAGGAGCGUGUAGGCGGCCAUACAGGUCAGCUGUGAAAACUCAAGGCUCAACCUCGAGACGUCGGUUGAAACCGUAUGGCUAGAGUCCGGAAGAGGAGAGUGGAAUUCCCGGUGUAGCGGUGAAAUGCGCAGAUAUCGGGAAGAACACCUAUGGCGAAGGCAGCUCUCUGGGACGGUACUGACGCUGAGACGCGAAAGCGUGGGGAGCGAACAGG
rnacentral:rRNA from 1 species